AGAGAGAGACAUGCGCGCAUAUCAAUAAGCGGAGGAAAAGAAACUAACAAGGAUUCCCUUAGUAACGGCGAGUGAAGCGGGAAGAGCUCAAAUUUGAAAUCUUCAAGGUUUUACCUUGACGAAUUGUAGUUUAAAGAAGUGUUUUCUGCUGAAGUUUUGGUAAAAGUUCUUUGGAAUAGGACAUCAUAGAGGGUGAGAAUCCCGUAUUUGACCAUUAUUUUCAGCUUUGUGAUACACUUUCAAAGAGUCGGAUUGUUUGGGAAUGCAGUCCAAAAUGGGUGGUAAAUUUCAUCUAAAGCUAAAUAUUGGCGAGAGACCGAUAGCGAACAAGUACCGUGAGGGAAAGAUGAAAAGAACUUUGAAAAGAGAGUUAAACAGUACGUGAAAUUGUCAAAAGGGAAGCGUUUGACACCAGUGUUGUUUUCUCGAAAAUCAAUUAAAAAUGGCUCGAUUUUGUAUUGCUUGAGACCUUAAAAGCUCACUGUACAUUUUUCGUGUCUUUUUUAAUGCACUUCUCGUUUAACAAGUCAACAUCAGUUUCUUUUGUUGUAAAAGGGUCAUUGGAAGGUGGCUUUCUUUUCGGAGAAAGUGUUUAUAGCCUUUGGCCUCUGCAAUCGGAGAGACUGAGGUCUGCAGCGUAGACUCUUCGGGGUUAGAUACAUUUGUGCUAAGUUAUAGCUUUUUAUAGACAACUUGUUGACUAUAAUUAGUCUUGUAGCUUACUCGCUUAUGCUAUUUUACCUACGCUUAGGAUGUUGAAGAUGUAGCACAUCAU
rnacentral:rRNA from 1 species